rnacentral:piRNA from 1 species
UUACAUUGUGUCACUAGUCAGAAAGGU